GGGAGAGCUCAAAUUUAGAAUCUGGCAGCGCUACGCGUGUCCGAAUUGUAAUCUCGAGAAGUGUUUUCCGCGUUGGCCUGUGUACAAGUCCCUUGGAACAGGGCGUCAUAGAGGGUGAGAAUCCCGUCCUUGACACUGACACCCAAUGCUUUGUGAUACACUCUCAAUGAGUCGAGUUGUUUGGGAAUGCAGCUCAAAAUGGGUGGUAAAUUCCAUCUAAAGCUAAAUACUGGCGAGAGACCGAUAGCGAACAAGUACCGUGAGGGAAAGAUGAAAAGCACUUUGGAAAGAGAGUCAAACAGUACGUGAAAUUGUUGAAAGGGAAACGAUUGAAGUCAGUCGUGCCUGCCUAGAUUCAGCCUUCUGGUGUAUUUCUAGGUCGGCAGGUCAGCAUCAGUUUGGGGGGGUUAACAAGGGAGCUGGGAAUGUGGCAACCUCGGUUGUGUUAUAGCCCAGUUUCCCAUUGAUCUCGCUGGACUGAGGAACGCAGUGCGCCCGCAAGGGUUGGUCUUCGGACACAUUCGCACUUAGGAUGCUGGCAUAAUGGCUUUAAACGACCCGUCUUGAACCACGAACCAA
rnacentral:rRNA from 1 species